AGGGAUUUAGCUCAGUGGUAUAAGCACCUGCCUGGAAAGCAUGAGAUCGUUAGUUCAAUCUCCAGUACCUA
rnacentral:tRNA from 1 species